AGGUGAGGAAGCCAUGGUUUAAAGCAGAGAUCACCAGCUGCUGGACCACAGACCUGCACGAGUUCACGGCCUGUCAGGAAUCGACCCACACAGCAGCACAUGCUCCUCUGCAGAACGUGAUGGGGCUGCCUUGCCAGCUGGAGCCUGAAACUAUGCCCAGGUAGACAGAACCGCGAGUCCCAGGACAGCCUGGGAAAUGUUGGCUGCCUGCUAAUGGAAGAAUGUCCAGGAUGGAAAACAAGAGGCUGGAUCUGCAAAUGACAUUGUAUUUCAGGGGUCUGCUUUCCAGGUCUGCCCCUCCCCACCUCUGUAGCUCCCUCACAGUGACAGCAGAGCUGUGAACCCAGGAACAAACCCCACCAUUGCCCCUGUCCUCUCUCAUCUCUACUUUCCACAUUGAAAAAUAAUAAAAGAGGCCAGGCAUGGUGGCUCAAAACACCUAUAAUACCAGCACUAGGAGGCCAAGAUGAGAGAAUUGCUUGAGGCCAGGAGUUCAAGACCUGCCUG
rnacentral:lncRNA from 1 species